rnacentral:lncRNA from 1 species
AACCCUGCUGACACCUUGAUCUUGGAAUUCUAGCCUCCAGGAUUUUAAUAAAAUGAAGAUAUAUUGUGCAUCAACUACUCUUGCCACCAUUACUUUUCAGACUCUUAAAAGGACAUCUGUUCCAUUGCCUACUUCACAUGUGGACAGAGCACAUAAUGGACAAAAAUAAACCUUCCAGAAAGAAGGAUCCAGAGGCCAUAGAGGACAAUGAAAAA